GACGAACGCUGGCGGCGUGCUUAACACAUGCAAGUCGAACGGAAAGGCCCUGCUUUUGUGGGGUGCUCGAGUGGCGAAUGGGUGAGUAACACGUGAGUAACCUGCCCUUGACUUUGGGAUAACUUCAGGAAACUGGGGCUAAUACCGGAUAGGAGCUCCUGCUGCAUGGUGGGGGUUGGAAAGUUUCGGCGGUUGGGGAUGGACUCGCGGCUUAUCAGCUUGUUGGUGGGGUAGUGGCUUACCAAGGCUUUGACGGGUAGCCGGCCUGAGAGGGUGACCGGCCACAUUGGGACUGAGAUACGGCCCAGACUCCUACGGGAGGCAGCAGUGGGGAAUAUUGCACAAUGGGCGGAAGCCUGAUGCAGCAACGCCGCGUGCGGGAUGACGGCCUUCGGGUUGUAAACCGCCUUCGCCUGUGACGAAGCGUGAGUGACGGUAAUGGGUAAAGAAGCACCGGCUAACUACGUG
rnacentral:rRNA from 1 species